GGGUUGUGAGGUUAAGCAAUUAAGCGUACACGGUGGAUGCCUAGGCAGUCAGAGGCGAUGAAGGACGUGCUAAUCUGCGAAAAGCGUCGGUAAGCUGAUAUGAAGCGUGAUAGCCGGCGAUGUCCGAAUGGGGAAACCCAGUGCAAUGCGUUGCACUAUCAUUAACUGAAUCCAUAGGUUAAUGAGGCGAACCGGGGGAACUGAAACAUCUCAGUACCCCGAGGAAAAGAAAUCAACCGAGAUUCCCCCAGUAGCGGCGAGCGAACGGGGAGGAGCCCAGAACCAGCAUCAGCCAGGGCAUCAGAGGAACGGUCUGGAAAGGCCGGCGAGAGAGGGUGAUAGCCCCGUACUCGAAGAUGACCGGGUUGUGAGUUCGAUGAGUAAGGCGGGACACGAGAAAUCCUGUCUGAAGAGGGGGGGACCAUCCUCCAAGGCUAAAUACUCCUGACUGACCGAUAGUGAACCAGUACCGUGAGGGAAAGGCGAAAAGAACCCCGGCGAGGGGAGUGAAAGAGAACCUGAAACCGUGUACGUACAAGCAGUGGGAGCCUUGAUUUAUCAGGGUGACUGCGUACCUUUUGUAUAAUGGGUCAGCGACUUAUAUUCUGUAGCGAGGUUAACCGGAUAGGGGAGCCGCAGGGAAACCGAGUCUUAACUGGGCGAAUGAGUUGCAGGGUAUAGACCCGAAACCCGGUGAGCUAGCCAUGGGCAGGUUGAAGGUUGGGUAACACUAACUGGAGGACCGAACCGACUAAUGUUGAAAAAUUAGCGGAUGACUUGUGGCUGGGGGUGAAAGGCCAAUCAAACCGGGAGAUAGCUGGUUCUCCCCGAAAGCUAUUUAGGUAGCGCCUCGUGAAUUCAUCUUCGGGGGUAGAGCACUGUUUCGGCUAGGGGGCCAUCCCGGCUUACCAACCCGAUGCAAACUGCGAAUACCGAAGAAUGGUAUCACGGGAGACACACGGCGGGUGCUAACGUCCGUCGUGAAGAGGGAAACAACCCAGACCGCCAGCUAAGGUCCCGAAGUCAUGGUUAAGUGGGAAACGAUGUGGGAAGGCCCAGACAGCCAGGAUGUUGGCUUAGAAGCAGCCAUCAUUGAAAGAAAGCGUAAUAGCUCACUGGUCGAGUCGGCCUGCGCGGAAGAUGUAACGGGGCUAAACCAUGCGCCGAAGCUGCGGCAGUGACGUUGAGGCGUUGCUGGGUAGGGGAGCGUUCUGUAAGCUGUUGAAGGCGGCGCCGUGAGGCCUGCUGGAGGUAUCAGAAGUGCGAAUGCUGACAUAAGUAACGAUAAAGCGGGUGAAAAACCCGCUCGCCGGAAGACCAAGGGUUCCUGUCCAACGUUAAUCGGGGCAGGGUGAGUCGACCCCUAAGGUGAGGCCGAAGGGCGUAGCUGAUGGGAAACAGGUUAAUAUUCCUGUACUGAAUGUGACUGCGAAGGGGGGACGGAGAAGGCUAGGCCAUCCGGGCGACGGUCGUCCCGGUUUAAGCGUGUAGGUGGGAGGAGCAGGUAAAUCCGCUCUUCUGUGAACACUGAGGCGUGAUGACGAGCCGCUACGGCGGUGAAGUGGUUGAUGCCCGGCUUCCAGGAAAAGCCUCUAAGCGCCAGGUCACAUUGAAUCGUACCCCAAACCGACACAGGUGGUCAGGUAGAGAAUACUCAGGCGCUUGAGAGAACUCGGGUGAAGGAACUAGGCAAAAUGGUGCCGUAACUUCGGGAGAAGGCACGCUGGCGUUAGGUGAAGGGAGAGACGCCCGGAGCCGAAGCCAGUCGCAGAGACCAGCUGGCUGCAACUGUUUAUUAAAAACACAGCACUGUGCAAACACGUAAGUGGACGUAUACGGUGUGACGCCUGCCCGGUGCUGGAAGGUUAAUUGAUGGGGUUAGCCGCAAGGCGAGGCUCUUGAUAGAAGCCCCAGUAAACGGCGGCCGUAACUAUAACGGUCCUAAGGUAGCGAAAUUCCUUGUCGGGUAAGUUCCGACCUGCACGAAUGGCGUAAUGAUGGCCAGGCUGUCUCCACCCGAGACUCAGUGAAAUUGAACUCGCUGUGAAGAUGCAGUGUACCCGCGGCAAGACGGAAAGACCCCGUGAACCUUUACUAUAGCUUGACACUGAACAUGGAGCCUUGAUGUGUAGGAUAGGUGGGAGGCUGAGAAGCGCGGACGCCAGUCUGCGCGGAGCCAUCCUUGAAAUACCACCCUUGAAUGUUCGAUGUUCUCACUUAGGCCCGUGAACCGGGCUGAGGACAGUGUCUGGCGGGUAGUUUGACUGGGGCGGUCUCCUCCCAAAGCGUAACGGAGGAGCGCGAAGGUUGGCUAAUCACGGUCGGACAUCGUGAGGUUAGCGCAAAGGCAUAAGCCAGCUUAACUGCGAGAGUGACGGCUCGAGCAGGUACGAAAGUAGGUCUUAGUGAUCCGGUGGUUCUGCAUGGAAGGGCCAUCGCUCAACGGAUAAAAGGUACUCCGGGGAUAACAGGCUGAUACCGCCCAAGAGUUCAUAUCGACGGCGGUGUUUGGCACCUCGAUGUCGGCUCAUCACAUCCUGGGGCUGAAGUAGGUCCCAAGGGUAUGGCUGUUCGCCAUUUAAAGUGGUACGCGAGCUGGGUUUAGAACGUCGUGAGACAGUUCGGUCCCUAUCUGCCGUGGGCGCAGGAAGAUUGAAAGGGGCUGCUCCUAGUACGAGAGGACCGGAGUGGACGCACCGCUGGUGUACGGGUUGUCAUGCCAAUGGCAUCGCCCGGUAGCUAAGUGCGGGAGAGAUAACCGCUGAAAGCAUCUAAGCGGGAAACUUGCCUUGAGAUGAGUCUUCCCUUGACUUGAGGUCACGGAAGGAACGUUUAAGACGAAGACGUGGAUAGGCUGGGUGUGUAAGUGCAGCGAUGCAUUGAGCUGACCAGUACUAAUGAACCGAGAGGCUUAACCUUACAACGCCGAAGGUGUUU
rnacentral:rRNA from 3 species